UCGACGCCCCUUCCUCUCCUGAUUAGGAUCAACAGACCACGACGCCUUUGCUUCUCUGUCCAACCACGUCGUAUCUCCUCCAACUCUUCCCUUUGGGUGAGAAGAGGAGCCCUUCAUUUUAUAGAAAUGCUCGCUGUUAAAAGGGCAAGUUGGCGACAGCAGCGGAGCAUCGGCGAAGGGUUCAUUUUCUCGCUCUUCGGGACACUCGUUGCUUUGUUGCGGUGCUCUCUAACACAUAUUUCUCGUUUCCUGAGGAGGAACAAUGGCUAGAAAGGGGCUUGAUCGUCUCGCAUUUGUUCUUCGUCAGCGAUCGCCCUCAAACUGAAGAGCAAAGAGCCACCACUUCACAACGACUGCUCACUUCCCCUUUCUUCCUCCUCCUCCGCUCCUGGAGGAGGAGGAGGAGGAGAUGGAGGAGGAGAUGAAGAGGAAGAGCUCCAGCAUGGGCAACCUGGUUUCGUGCACCGUCACUGCAUCGGCCGCCAAUCGUGUCCUCGUCGAUCAAGGGUACCACUCCGAUGGCAGCCUCCUCCUACCCCGAGCGGGUUGACGAAGAAAAGCCACGAGAGAAAGAGGGGUUCGUGGCAAUGAUCUCUCUUUCUUUUUCAAAAUAAUAAAAUAAAGCAUAAGCCCAGUAUUCUCGAUUUAUCGCCAUGUUUUAGUUUUUUUUUUUUUUGAAGUUGGGGCAAAUCCUUCAUAUAUUUGUUGUUCAAAAGUCACAUUUUGAUCUACUUUGCUGAUAUUAUAUUUUGUGGAUAUAUCUGAUGAAUCUCCUGAGCUUUGUGAUUCCUUGUUGAUUUGAUUAUAUUUUGUGGAGGUGAAUUAAAUUAGCUAAUUCGUUAUUCUUGUUCAUAUUCUAACGGGAAGAGAUUAGGCACAAUAAUCUCUUAGUUGUGCUCCCUGUUGAUUUUUUUUAUUUAUUUUUUUUAUUCUUUGUCAGUUGUCACAGGAUUGGGUUCGUAGAGUAUUAUCUGAAAUUGUUUAUCGCCUUCUCUGCACUGACCUUUGUGGGAACCUUUUCUUUUUCCAAUGCAAUAAUCACACUUUUUGAAACUUUAGAUACAUGCAAUAACCAGAAUAUUACGGACUGUUUAUUGCUAUUUUUUUUUCACCUGAAUCUGAACAAUCGACCAGAUGGUGAAGCGCUCUGAUUCCCAUUUCAAUGUCUCAUCUCAAACUAAUACUGAAACCAUGGACUUGGUAUUCCUUUUUACUUGUAUGUUUAAACUGUUAACCAACAGUUGAUCCUCUCAAUGGUUGGUACCUUCUUGGUUUAUAGUCUAAGACGAUGGUGGAUCCUCAUCAUAAACAUCAUCAAUCAAGCUAUGUUUUUCCCAAUUACUAGGGUGGAUCAGCACAAAUAAUAAAAAGCAUACCCUUGGUUGCUUUUCCUGAUUAAUUUUGUCUCUUGCGUGAAAGAUAACUUUUUUUAUGCAUAUUAUUCUUUUCUAAAUGUCCUUUCUAUCAAAAUAUUAAUGACUGAGACACUCUGGUAUAUCAGAUUUAAUCUCUUAAAUCUCUUCUCUUUGAUUGUGCCUUUGAUGUUGAAAUUCUUAUUUGCUCUUCAUCAUUGUUUCUUCUUGUGUGAAAAUUGAAACCGCACUUGUAUUUCUCUUUAGAAGAUACACUUGAAAUGCACUGUAUAUGGUCGAUUCUCAUAACUGAUUGUUUGCCAAGACUAUAGAAGAUGAAUGUAGACUCCAUUAAGUAUCCAGUUUAAAGCAAAGGAUCUCCAUGUGUGUGUAUUUUAAUUGCAUAAUUUUAGCCCUUCUAAUACCAUUUUGUCGCAAGUGUGGACACUGCAAGAAGCUUGCCCCUGAAUAUGAAAAGCUUGGAUCGAGCUUUAAAAAGGAUAAAUCUGUUUUGAUUGGGAAGGUUAGCAUCGUUCUAAAUUAGGCCAAGAAGCAUCAUCUCUUUUACUACAGAAGCACUUACUGAGUUUGUGAAUACUGAAGGGGGAACAAAUGUGAAACUAGCAACUAUCCCUUCUAAUGUAGUAGUAUUGACUCCAGAGAUUUGAUUAGAUUGUUCUUGAUGUAAAUAAAGAUGUUCUUGUUGAAUUCUAUGCACCAUGGUGUGGCCAUUGCAAGCAUCUUGCUCCUAUAUAUGAGAAGUUAGCCAAUGCAUACAAAUUGGAAGAUGAUGUUGUCAUUGCUAACUUGGAUGCUGAUAAAUACAAGGAUUUAGCAUAAAAGUAUGCAGUUAGUGGUUAUCAUACCUUGAAGUUUUUUCCCAAGGAAAACAAAGCUGGUGAAGAUUAUGAGGCUGAACGGGAGUUGGAUGAAUAUUUAUGGAUACUGUUGUAAGAAGAAUAUUUAUGUAAUUUGUGAAUAUUUGUGUAUUUUAUGGAUACUAUUGGAAGAAGAAUAUGUGUAAUUUAUGAAUAUUUGUGUAUUUUAUGGAUACUAU